CUCUGGGGACAGUGCUGGGAGCUUGCAAGGAAGUCCUCCACAUCCAAGAGAAGCUCCUGCAACACCUGGAGGAAGCAAACGCAGAGGAGCCAUCUGAGGCCCAGGGAAUGAUCUCUCUUCUCAGCCAUGCUGCUGAGAGCAACUUUCACCCAGUCCUGGACACACUCACCAUGUUUGCGUCCAGGCUGUGCAAAGGCCAGAAUGGGAGGAUUCCCAGACGCAAGAAGAUGGAGCUGGACAGCAGAAGAGCUCACGCCACACGCAGCGCUCUCAUCCUCGCCCACGGCAGCUUGGCACUGCGUGCCUCCAAGGAACAGCUGCUCGCCCGCCUGGAGGGAGACAUCGUGGGCAACAUCCUGCUGCUCUACAG
ensembl:lncRNA